CCCCUACGGGGCGCAGCAGUGAGGAAUAUUGGUCAAUGGGCGCAAGCCUGAACCAGCCAAGUUGCGUGAGGGAAGACGGCCCUACGGGUUGUAAACCUCUUUUGCCGGGGAGCAAGCCUGAGCACGUGUGCCCGGGCGGAGAGUACCCGGAGAAAAAGCAUCGGCUAACUCCGGGCAAGCAGCCGCGGUAAUACGGAGGAUGCGAGCGUUAUCCGGAUUUAUUGGGUUUAAAGGGGGCGCAGGCGGGCUGUUAAGCCGGCGGUAAAAAUUCAGG
rnacentral:rRNA from 1 species